rnacentral:rRNA from 1 species
ACAGGAAGCAGCUUGCUGCUUUGCUGACGAGUGGCGGACGGGUGAGUAAUGUCUGGGAAACUGCCUGAUGGAGGGGGAUAACUACUGGAAACGGUAGCUAAUACCGCAUAACGUCGCAGACCAAAGAGGGGACCUUCGGGCCUCUUGCCAUCGGAUGUGCCCAGAUGGGAUUAGCUAGUAGGUGGGUAACGGCUCCCUAGGCGACGAUCCCUAGCUGGUCUGAGAGGAUGACCAGCCCACUGGAACUGACACACGGCCAACUCCUACGGGAGGCAGCAGGGGGGAUUUUGGCCAAUGGGCGAAGCCUGAUGCGCCAUGCCGCGUGUAUGAAAAGCCUUCGGUUUAAGUUCUUUCCCCGGGAGGAAGGGAGUAAGUUAAUUCUUUGCUCUUGAUUCCCCAAAAACCCCGUUAUCCUGGC